GACGAACGCUGGCGGCGUGCCUAACACAUGCAAGUUGAGCGACGAACCAGGGCUUGCCCUGGGGCAAAGCAGCGAACGGGUGAGUAACACGUGGGUAACCUGCCCCGAUAACCGGGACAACCCGAGGAAACUCGGGCUAAUACCGGAUGUGCUCGCCGGACAUCAGUCCGGCGCGUAAAGGUAGCUUCGGCUUCCGUAUCGGGAGGGGCCCGCGGAUCAUUAGCUAGUUGGUGAGGUAACGGCUCACCAAGGCCGCGAUGAUUAGCUGGUCUGAGAGGACGAUCAGCCACACUGGGACUGAGACACGGCCCAGACUCCUACGGGAGGCAGCAGUGGGGAAUCUUGCGCAAUGCGCGAAAGCGUGACGCAGCAACGCCGCGUGGGGAAGAAGGCCUCGGGUUGUAAACCCCUUUCAGGAGGACGAAGGCUCGGCGGUGAAUAGCCGUCCGGGCUGACGGUACCUCCACAAGAAGCCCCGGCUAACUACGUGCCAGCAGCCGCGGUAAUACGUAGGGGGGCUAGCGUUGUCCGGAAUCAUUGGGCGUAAAGCGCGCGUAGGCGGCCCGGUAAGUCCGCUCUGAAAGUCCAGGGCUCAACCCUGGAACGCGGGUGGAUACUGCCGGGCUAGAGUUCCGGGAAGAGGCGAGUGGAAUUCCUGGUGUAGCGGUGGAAUGCGCAGAUAUCAGGAGGAACACCAAUAGCGAAGGCAGCUCGCUGGGACGGUACU
rnacentral:rRNA from 1 species